CAUUGAUGAUAUCUUACAAUUAUCAUCCGCCUGGGAACUACGAGCAUCAGCUUAAAACCCAAAGGACUUGGCGGUGCUUUAGACCCACCUAGAGGAGCCUGUUCUAGAACCGAUAACCCCCGUUCAACCUCACCCUUCCUUGUUCCUCCCGCCUAUAUACCACCGUCGUCAGCUUACCCUGUGAAGGAUUAAUAGUAAGCAAAACUGGCAAAGCCCAAAACGUCAGGUCGAGGUGUAGCGUAUGGAAGGGAAAGAAAUGGGCUACAUUCACUAAUUCAGUGCACACGAAUGACACCCUGAAACACGUGUCUGAAGGAGGAUUUAGCAGUAAGCAGAAAAUAGAGUGUUCUGCUGAAACUGGCCCUGAAGCGCGC
rnacentral:rRNA from 1 species